AUUGAACGCUGGCGGCAUGCCUUACACAUGCAAGUCGAACGGUAACGGGCCUUCAGGUGCCGACGAGUGGCGAACGGGUGAGUAAUGUAUCGGAACGUACCUUUCAGUGGGGGAUAACGUAGCGAAAGUUACGCUAAUACCGCAUAUUCUGUGAGCAGGAAAGCAGGGGAUCGCAAGACCUUGCGCUGAUUGAGCGGCCGAUAUCAGAUUAGCUAGUUGGUGAGGUAAAGGCUCACCAAGGCGACGAUCUGUAGCGGGUCUGAGAGGAUGAUCCGCCACACUGGAGCUGAGACACGGUCCAGACUCCUACGGGAGGCAGCAGUGGGGAAUUUUGGACAAUGGGGGCAACCCUGAUCCAGCCAUGCCGCGUGAGUGAAGAAGGCCUUCGGG
rnacentral:rRNA from 1 species